rnacentral:rRNA from 1 species
GUGACAUUAGUUAGUUGGUGAGGUAACGGCUCACCAAGACUACGAUGUCUAGGGGUUCUGAGAGGAUGAUCCCCACACUGGUACUGAGACACGGACCAGACUCCUACGGGAGGCAGCAGUGAGGAAUAUUGGUCAAUGGGCGCAAGCCUGAACCAGCCAUCCCGCGUGAAGGAUGAAGGCCCUAUGGGUCGUAAACUUCUUUUAUACACCAAGAAAAAGCAGGACGUGUCCUGCCCCGACGGUAGUGUAUGAAUAAGCAUCGGCUAACUCCGUGCCAGCAGCCGCGGUAAUACGGAGGAUGCAAGCGUUAUCCGGAUUCAUUGGGUUUAAAGGGUGCGUAGGCGGCUUUUUAAGUCAGUGGUGAAAUCCUGUCGCUUAACGAUAGAAUUGCCAUUGAUACUGAAGAGCUUGAGUACAAUUGAGGUAAGCGGAAUGUGUAGUGUAGCGGUGAAAUGCUUAGAUAUUACACAGAACACCGAUUGCGAAGGCAGCUUACUAAACUGUUACUGACGCUGAUGCACGAAAGCGUGGGGAGCGAACAGGA